UAUUGUUUCCUCUUCACCAACAUUUCACCAUCCAAGUGACCUAAUAUUGGUAGUUUUAAAUUUUGUUCUCUCUCUCCCUCUUUAUUUAUGUAUUUCUCCUUUCCUCCUCCCUUUUUUCCUUUCUUUCCUUUCUUUUCCUUCUUCUUUUUGCAUUCUGCCCAGCUAUGGAUACUUCUACAUGCUGUGUAAUGCUAGAGGGAAGACACAUCUGGCAGCCAGAUGUGGAGGUUACCAAUGAGGAGCCUGGCAAGGAGGUUUCACCAUGAGAGGAGGGCCUGAAUGGCCGACUUUGUGGGUUGCUGGAGAUGGUAGACUCAAGGAGGUCUAUUCAAGACCAGUUCAGACAGUUGGCAUACAAUGCUGCUGGAAUUCAAAUUUUGAAAUGUCCCACUCUGAAGCUCAUACUAGAACUAUUGGAUGAAGAAAUGCAUGAGGUGACUAAAAUUAUGUAA
rnacentral:lncRNA from 10 species